CCUACGGGAGGCAGCAGUGAGGAAUAUUGCACAAUGGAGGAAACUCUGAUGCAGCAACGCCGCGUGGAGGAUGACGCAUUUCGGUGUGUAAACUCCUUUUAAGAGGGAAGAUAAUGACGGUACCUCUUGAAUAAGCACCGGCU
rnacentral:rRNA from 1 species